rnacentral:lncRNA from 1 species
GGAGGCUCUGGCUCUACAAAAUGCAGGGUUCCUCCUGGCAUGGCAGCUAAGUCCCAAGAGAGGCAGAGAUCCUGAACACGGCCAUCCUCACUGGGAAAACAGUGGCUGUCCCUGUGAAGGUGAUCUCAGUAGAGGAAGAUGGCACAGUACAAGGGCUGUCGGACUCGGUGGAGUGCAGGUCAUCCGAUGAAGAUGUGGUUAAGACCCUGGGAGGUGGCAGAGAGAUGUGGAGAUCACACACCCCUGCCCACCCAAGACUGAUGACAGAGGUUUCUUUCUGCCCACUUGGGCUGAAAAGGUAUAGAAAGAAGAGACCUGGACUGGUAUAUGUGCAGCCAAGCUUCAUGAUGCAUUUACAGCCAGAUGGCUGUGUGAAAUCAAUAAAGGCAUAAAGUUGA